GUGGGGAAUAUUGGACAAUGGGCGCAAGCCUGAUCCAGCCAUGCCGCGUGAGUGAUGAAGGCCUUAGGGUUGUAAAGCUCUUUCACCGAUGAAGAUAAUGACGGUAGUCGGAGAAGAAGCCCCGGCUAACUUCGUGCCAGCAGCCGCGGUAAUACGAAGGGGGCUAGCGUUGUUCGGAUUUACUGGGCGUAAAGCGCACGUAGGCGGUUUGUUAAGUCAGGGGUUAAAUCCCGGAGCUCAACUACGGAACUGCCUUUGAUACUGGCAAGCUAGAGUCCGGUAGAGGUAAGUGGAACUCCUAGUGUAGAGGUGGAAUUCGUAGAUAUUAGGAAGAACACCAGUGGCGAAGGCGGCUUACUGGUCCGGAACUGACGCUGAGGUGCGAAAGCGUGGGGAGCAAACAGGAUUAGAAACCCCGGUAGUCC
rnacentral:rRNA from 1 species